rnacentral:rRNA from 1 species
CCUACGGGAGGCAGCAGUGAGGAAUAUUGGUCAAUGGCCGGAAGGCUGAACCAGCCAAGUCGCGUGAGGGACGACUGCCCUCUGGGUUGUAAACCUCUUUUAUAAGGGAAGAAUAAAUGCUACGUGUAGCAUGAUGCCUGUACCUUAUGAAUAAGCAUCGGCUAACUCCGUGCCAGCAGCCGCGGGAAUACGGAGGAUGCGAGCGUUAUCCGGAUUUAUUGGGUGUAAAGGGUGCGUAGGCGGUUUUUUAAGUUAGUGGUUACACGUCUGGGCUUCACCUUGAUUUGCCAUUAAUACUGUAGGACUCGAGUUCAGACGAGGUAGGCGGAAUAAGUUAAGUAGCGGUGAAAUGCUUAGAUAUAACUUAGAACUCCGAUAGCGAAGGCAGCUUACCGGACUGCGACUGACGCUGAAGCACGAGAGCGUGGGUAGCGAACAGGAUUAGAUACCCCUGUAGUC